rnacentral:rRNA from 1 species
GACGAACGCUGGCGGCGUGCCUAAUACAUGCAAGUCGAGCGGACCGAACAGGAGCUUGCUCUUGUUCGGUUAGCGGCGGACGGGUGAGUAACACGUGGGUAACCUGCCCGUAAGACCGGGAUAACUCCGGGAAACCGGAGCUAAUACCGGAUAACACCGAAGACCGCAUGGUCUUUGGUUGAAAGGCGGCUUCGGCUGCCACUUACGGAUGGGCCCGCGGCGCAUUAGCUAGUUGGUGAGGUAACGGCUCACCAAGGCGACGAUGCGUAGCCGGCCUGAGAGGGUGACUGGCCACACUGGGACUGAGACACGGCCCAGACUCCUACGGGAGGCAGCAGUAGGGAAUCUUCCGCAAUGGACGAAAGUCUGACGGAGCGACGCCGCGUGAGCGAAGAAGGUCUUCGGAUCGUAAAGCUCUGUUGUUAGGGAAGAAGAAGCGUCGUUCGAACAGGGCGGCGCGGUGACGGUACCUAACGAGAAAGCCCCGGCUAACUACGUG